rnacentral:rRNA from 1 species
UACGUAGGUGGCAAGCGUUGUCCGGAAUUACUGGGCGUAAAGCGCACGUAGGCGGCUUUGUAAGUUAGAGGUGAAAGCCUGGAGCUCAACUCCAGAAUUGCCUUUAAGACUGCAUCGCUUGAAUCCAGGAGAGGUGAGUGGAAUUCCGAGUGUAGAGGUGAAAUUCGUAGAUAUUCGGAAGAACACCAGUGGCGAAGGCGGCUCGCUGGACUGGUAUUGACGCUGAGGUGCGAAAGCGUGGGGAGCAAACAGG